UUGUCGGGGCGCUAUUUUAAAAGCUGAGACUGAAUAUUCAGAACCCGUUGACCUGAUCCGGUUAGUACCGGCGUAGGGAUUCGA
rnacentral:ncRNA from 1 species